GAUGAACGCUAGCUACAGGCUUAACACAUGCAAGUCGAGGGGAAACGACAUCGAAAGCUUGCUUUUGAUGGGCGUCGACCGGCGCACGGGUGAGUAACGCGUAUCCAACCUGCCCAUCACUUGGGAAUAACCUUGCGAAAGUAAGACUAAUACCCAAUGAUAUCCCACGAAGGCAUCGGAAUGGGAUUAAAGAUUUAUCGGUGAUGGAUGGGGAUGCGUCUGAUUAGCUUGUUGGCGGGGUAACGGCCCACCAAGGCAACGAUCAGUAGGGGUUCUGAGAGGAAGGUCCCCCACAUUGGAACUGAGACACGGUCCGAACUCCUACGGGAGGCAGCAGUGAGGAAUAUUGGUCAAUGGGCGAGAGCCUGAACCAGCCAAGUAGCGUGCAGGAAGACGGCCCUAUGGGUUGUAAACUGCUUUUAUAAGGGAAUAAAGUGGGUCACGUGUGACUUUUUGCAUGUACCUUAUGAAUAAGGACCGGCUAAUUCCGUG
rnacentral:rRNA from 1 species